rnacentral:snoRNA from 1 species
AGGAAAUGAGGAGUGGUACAGGCUCGCUGAAUUGUGCGAGAGGGGUGCCCGCCCCAAUAAGCCUGUUACGACACUGGGGCAUCCCAAGUGAUUUACCAUCUGAUCCU